GAGCACUAGAAGUUUUGCUUUGUACCUGCCAAGUGUUGAAGCACCACAUUGUGGGCAGGGUGACAGACUGCUCUGAGAGCAUGCCAGAUCGGGAAAGAAAGAGGCAGCUGCCUGGAUAUAACAAAUGAAGACCCCUCUGAACACAGUACACACUGUUCCUCACAACACCUUCCAAUGGAGCAGUUGGCUAGUGUUUGUUAAGAUUAGAAAGCGACAGUUUCCCCUAUUGGUCAUGGCACAAAACAAGUCUGGGAAGGGCAUUAAAUUCUGCUGUAUAAUUAAUAUUGGACAGAGUCUCUGUGCUGCUACUCCAAAAUGGAACAGUAAAGAGUUGCAAAAAUAACUAAGCCCCUGACAUCAUCCUGCAUAAAUUGAAUGAAGGAGAAUUUUCAAUCCCUGACUAAAGAAGAAGAAAGGGUAUAGGGAGACACUAGAGGGUCACCUGCCUGAGAGGGUGAGCCCUGUACUUUGCUGAGUGUUGAUCAAACACCCAGUGAGGCAGAGGAGCAGCCAUGCAGCCUCACCUUCACCAGAAUAUGAAA